rnacentral:rRNA from 1 species
GAUUAACGCUAGCGGCAGGCCUAAUACAUGCAAGUCGAACGGCAGCGGGUGUAGCAAUACAUGCCGGCGAGUGGCGCACGGGUGCGUAACGCGUAUGCAAUCUACCUAUAACUGGGGAAUAGCCUUCCGAAAGGAAGAUUAAUACCGCAUAACAUCACGGAACGGCAUCGUUUUGUGAUCAAAACUCAGGUGGUUAUAGAUGAGCAUGCGUGACAUUAGCUAGUUGGUGAGGUAACGGCUCACCAAGGCGACGAUGUCUAGGGGGUCUGAGAGGAUGAUCCCCCACACUGGUACUGAGACACGGACCAGACUCCUACGGGAGGCAGCAGUAAGGAAUAUUGGACAAUGGCCGCAAGGCUGAUCCAGCCAUGCCGCGUGAAGGAUGAAGGUGCUAUGCAUUGUAAACUUCUUUUGUCCCGGAAUAAACCCUGAUUUCUAUCGGGCUGAAUGUACGGGAAGAAUAAGGGACGGCUAACUUCGU